CAGUGAAGUAGAUCUGGUAGGGCAAAGAAUGAGGGUUUGAGGCAGCCUGGAGGAGGACGUUUCCCCACUGUCCUAGCUCAGAAUAUUAGAGGGCAUUCCUUCAGCCACAAGAGAGGAGGGGCUUAGGGAGAACAUUUCCUGGCCUUUUAUGGUCCUGUAGCCUUUAGGGCCUUAGGGUUCUUCAGGGAGAGUUCCCGUAUGUGCACAUGCAUGGUGUCCUCCUUUGUCUCUUACCCCAAUGAGGUGGCCCAGUGCCACAGAGGUUCCAAUCAUGGCAGCUGGGGACGCCAAGGUCUGCCGGCCAUCCAUGGAAGCAAAGACACAGAGCACCAGCUGCAGCGUCAGAACCAGCUCCACGGCCACCGCCUGGCCAGUUGAUGUGCUGUUGUGGACCUUAGCAGAGAGGAUUGCACUGGAGUGGACUUGGGCUCUGAGCACAGGACAGUGAGACUCCCUAGUCCUUCCUACUCUCCCCGGCUGAGGGCUGAUGCAGGACCCUAAGGAGGUCUGUGGGGUCUGUGCAGCCGGCUCGCAUUGCAUCCGGAUGCCUGCUCCCCGUGCAAGUGCCUGACACGUCUCCCACUCUCCCAUUGAGUGAGGCCCGCGGUUCAACGGUGCCUCAGAAGUUAAGGAGUGAUGAAAAAGCUUGAGGGAAGAAUGGAGGGGCUGCGGGUAGAGGUGGAAGCAGAUGGAGCAAAGAUGAUGAGAGGAGUGAAGCAGGCCUCGGAAACAGAGAAACCAGCAGGAUACACAGAGAGAGUACAAGGCCAGUUAGGUAGGGCUCUCCCUCUCCCUCUCCCUCUCCCUCUCCCUCUCCCUCUCCCUCUCCCUCUCCCUCUCCCUCUCCUUCUCUCUCUCUCCUCUCCCUCUCCCUCUCCCUCUCCCUCUCCCUCUCCCUCUCCCUCUCCCUCUCCCUCUCCCUCUCAAGCCCAGCUUGGCUCCUCGCUGACAGCUCUUAGCUGCCCCUGAUUCCCUCCCCUUCGUAUUGUCUCGGUGUCCCAUCUGUUUAUCACACCAUGUUGCCAUUUCUGUCUGGCCUAGGUGAAUGCUUAAAUGGGAGAGGAACCCGGGGCAGCUCAGAAUAGCUACAUUGUUUCCUCCUGUCUGGCCUCCCACCGUGACCAUCUGACUCCCUCAGGUGCCCUAUCAUCUGCCACAUGACUGGGCCUCUUUGCACCUACCACGUUGACCCCAAGGGUCUCUCGAAUACCUCCUGGAGUUACCCCGUAAAGAAGAGCAGCCCCAGCUGUGGCCCCAGCCAGCUGCGCAGCGAUAUAGGCCAUAGCCCGAGGCAGAGAGAUAUGGGAUCCCACGAGGUAGGCCAGGGUCACAGCAGGGUUGGCGUGGGCCCCGCUGGUCUUCCAGGAGAUCUGCACGGCUGUGGCUGUGGCCAGAUUGAAGGUGAUGGCGAUCUGGAGCACAGAGGGAAGCGCCACAGGCCAGGGCAGAACAGAGCCCACACCAAAGAAAACGUACAGCCCCGUGGCCAGGAACUCAGCAAAAAGCGCCUUGCUGAUGGCGGUCCAAAGCCCGCCAACCAGAAGCCCCAACCAGCAUUUUCCUGGACCCAGACGUUCCUGACUCUAGUGCCAAGCUUAGAGCUCAGAAGCCUUUUGUCCCAGCCCCACACCUGGCUGCUCCGAUGGAUGUCCCCUCCGAUGGAUGGAGCCUUCUCAGCCCUAGGGAGCGCCUUGUCUGUCCAGCCCUGAUGGAAACUGGCAGCUUCGGAGGGAGGCAUAGAUUGCGGAGGAGGGACUGCCUUCAAAUGGAGAAUGUGAGUUCUUCCUACACUCUAUCUUCAGGCGGAAAAGUGUCUCAGAGAGCUGGCAGAGCAUGUGUGACUGGGUAUGGCUUCAUACAGGUGUGCUGGAGAACACAUGUGGCCUGGCCUGGCUCUUUGAGGGUGAGUGGUGGCCAAAGGGGCGGGGGCGGGGUGGGGGGGUGGGGCGCCACUAGGACACACCUGGAAUGAGCAUGCCCUUGCUGAGAGAAGAGGAACACACAGGGAAGAUAUAACCUCCCCAAGCACAGUUGACAGCCAGUGCCACAGCUUGGAGCCCCAGAGGCAUUCAGGAUUAGUGUGUGUGCUGGCAUAGGUCUUUGUCAGUCCAGGAACCAUUACAUGCAGGUGCGCAGUGCCCCCUGCUGGCCAAACAGCCCAAUCACUGCAACCUACCAGCCCUAAGCCCUGGUUGUAUCCUCACCCAACAGCAAGGAAAAUGUCACCUGCAGGAAGCUGCAGACCUGUUGGUAACUCCCUCUGGCUAGAUGCCCCACCCCUGCUGAGGAUCAGUCUCUCGUAGGCUCCCUGUGCACCCUGUCACACACCCCUUGGGGGUCCAUUAGAGUGGGGUAUGCAAAUCAGAGCUGUCUGAAAGGAGGAGUGAAGCUUUGUUCUCUUCUAAGCCUUCUCCUGGGUAGUGAAGUGAGUGGGCUAGUGAGAAGCUGCUCCCUGGUGGCCUCGGGAACCUAAGCCCGAGACACCCUUGUAAUCUUGAAGAACCCCAUCCUUGCCUGGCCAGAGCCCAGUCCCAGAAAAAGCUUCAGUAUGGAUUUGGUGGACGAGUCUGCCCCCUGCUGGCUGGAACUGGCGCUUGCAGCCAGCAGGGCAAGUUCCUUCUCCACCCCCAUCUCGU
rnacentral:lncRNA from 1 species